CGGGUGAGUAACACGUGGGUGAUCUGCCCUGCACUUUGGGAUAAGCCUGGGAAACUGGGUCUAAUACCGAAUAGGACUACGGGCUGCAUGGUCUGUGGUGGAAAGCUUUUGCGGUGUGGGAUGGGCCCGCGGCCUAUCAGCUUGUUGGUGGGGUGAUGGCCUACCAAGGCGACGACGGGUAGCCGGCCUGAGAGGGUGUCCGGCCACACUGGGACUGAGAUACGGCCCAG
rnacentral:rRNA from 1 species